ACCUGGCUGGCUCAGUUGGUAGAGCUUGUGACUCUUGAUCUCAGGGUUGUGAGUUCGAGGCCCACACUGGAUG
rfam:Canis lupus familiaris chromosome 10, whole genome shotgun sequence.